CGGGGCGUGGCUCAGUUGGCUAGAGCGCUCGGUUCGGGACCGUGAAGUCGCUGGUUCAAGUCCAGUCGCCCCGA
rnacentral:tRNA from 1 species